rnacentral:rRNA from 1 species
GUCCACGCCCUAAACGAUGUCAACUGGUUGUCGGGGAAGCAAUUCCUUGGUAACGAAGCUAACGCGUGAAGUUGACCGCCUGGGGAGUACGGCCGCAAGGUUAAAACUCAAAGGAAUUGACGGGGACCCGCACAAGCUGUGGAUUAUGUGGAUUAAUUCGAUGCAACGCGAAAAACCUUACCUACCCUUGACAUGUACGGAACCCCGCAGAGAUGCGGGGUGCCCGAAAGGAGCCGUAACACAGGUGCUGCAUGGCUGUCGU